rnacentral:rRNA from 1 species
UACGUAGGGCGCAAGCGUUGUCCGGAAUUACUGGGCGUAAAGCGUGCGCAGGCGGUGAUGUAAGACAGUUGUGAAAGCCCCGGGCUCAACCUGGGGACUGCAUUUGAAACUGGCGGGCUUGAGUAUGGCAGAGGGGGGUGGAAUUCCGCGUGUAGCAGUGAAAUUCGUAGAUAUUCGGAGGAACACCAGUGGCGAAGGCGGCUCACUGGUCCGGUACUGACGCUGAGGUGCGAAAGCGUGGGGAGCAAACAGG